rnacentral:tRNA from 1 species
GCCUCUGUAGCUCAGUCGGUAGAGCACAUCCAUGGUAAGGAUGGGGUCACCAGUUCGAAUCUGGUCGGAGGCU